UACGUAGGGGGCAAGCGUUGUCCGGAUUUAUUGGGCGUAAAGAGCGUGUAGGCGGUUUGGUAGGUCCGCUGUGAAAACUCGAGGCUCAACCUCGAGACGCCGGUGGAAACCAUCAGGCUAGAGUCCGGAAGAGGAGAGUGGAAUUCCUGGUGUAGCGGUGAAAUGCGCAGAUAUCAGGAAGAACACCCGCGGCUAAGGCGGCUCUCUAGUACGGUACUGACGCUGAGACGCGAAAGCGUGGGGAGCGAACAGG
rnacentral:rRNA from 1 species